UGACAUUGUAUUCACCUCUAUUUAAUAGAGAUAUUCUUGUAUAAACAAUACAAUUUUAAGUCAUUAAAAUUAAUAUUGCAUCAGAGCAGACUCUGUUACUUUUCAAAUUUUAAAACAAAAAAUGGCAAACACCGCCACGACCAGUGCAACUCGGGAAGGUGAGUCUGAUGUAUCUACCGAGUCUUCACAGUGAAUAACCUCUAGAGAAGGACCAGUGGCUAGCUACGGUGAGUCCCACACUCUGCAGAUCACACAACACAAGCUCAAUGGAUCCAAUUACCUGGAUUGGUCUCAAUCGGUGCUAUUGGUUAUUCGAGGUAAAGGAAAAGUUGGUUAUCUUACUGGAGAGACAAAGAAACCAGAAGCACAAGAUACUGGAUAUCGGAUCUGGGAGUCAGAAAAUUCCAUGGUCACUGCGUGGUUGGUAAAUUCUAUGGAACCCAAGAUUGGUAGAAAUUAUUUAUCCUAUAAAACUGCCAAAGAGGUAUGGGAUCUCGCCCAAUCUAUGUAUUCUGAUUUUGGUAACUCAUCCCAAAUGUUUGAAUUAAAAUCGAUAUUAAGAGAUAUGAGGCAAGGCGAAACUACUAUAAUCGAUUACUAAAAUAUUUUGGUGGGUCUUUGGCAAGAAUUUGAUUUAUUUAAUGAUGUACGCUGGUCAUGCCCAGGAGAUGCUCUGAAGAAUACUCAGAAACUAGAAAAGGAGAGAUUGUUCGAUUUUCUUCAUGGACUGAACAAGGAAGGAUUCUUGGUAUAAAGCCACUGCUGUCAAUACAAGAUGCCUUUGCAAAGGUUCGACAUGAAGAGAGUAGAAGGAGAGUCAUGCUUUCAAGAUAUGAGAUCUCAAAUUUUCAAACUUGAUCCUAAAUCCCUUAAGUGUAUAUUUAUGGGUUAUUCUCAAUAUCAAAAAGGUUAUCAGUGCUUUUCUCCCUCCUUAGGAUGAUACUUAGUGUCUGCCGAUGUCACUUUUUUCGAGUCUACAUCGUUUUCUAGUACUACUGUGUCAUCUAAUCCAUCUUCUAUUGAGUCUGGGGAUGACUUCCUUAUUUACACUGUCACUACAUCUAUGUUACCAGUUUCUUCUCGUCCUUCUAUUCGAAGUGCUUACACUCGUCAUGUGCAACAAUCUUCGGUGGCACCUGAUGUUGGCCAUGACUUGCCUCCUCUACCUGCUUCUUCGCCUCAAGAUUUAUCACCUCCUCCUGAUCCUACUCUUAAUUUUCCCAUUACUCUCCGAAAAGGUAAACGAUCAUGUACCUAUCCUGUUUCUUCUUUUGUUUCUUAUCAUGCAUUAUCACCAUCUUCCAAGUCUUUCAUUGCUUCUUUAGAGCAUGUAUCCGUACCAAAAUCUAUCUCUGAAACUCUAUCCCAUAGUGGUUGGCAAGCAGCCAUGCAAGACGAAAUGUUGGCACUAGAACAUAAUCACAUAUGGGAAUUAGUUCCUUUACCUCUCCAUAAAAGGCAAUUGGUUGCAAAUGGGUGUUUACAAUCAAGAUGAAUCUUGAUGGAUCUGUUACUCGAUUGAAGGUGUUUACAGUCAAGAUGAAUCUUGAUGGAUCUGUUACUCGAUUGAAGGCUUGUUUAGUUGCUAAGGGGUAUGCUCAAACUUAUGGUGUGGAUUAGUCUGAGACUUUCUCUCUUGUUGCUAAGCUAGCUUCUAUUCGAUUAUGUUGAGAGGUUACAAUUUUAUUGUAAUAUAGUUAUCAUAGUCUUAGUUGUAUCUUCAUUUGAAUUUGAAUAAAUCUGGUAAGAUAAGGUAAGCUAGUUGGUUGGUUAGUUAGGAGUUGUUCCUUUAAUUUCUCUACAAUUUAUAUUCAAAUAAGGUCCUAUUUUUUAUGGGAUCUGACAUUGUAUUCACCUCUAUUUAAUAGAGAUAUUCUUGUAUAAACAAUACAAUUUUAAGUCAUUAAAAUUAAUAUUGCAUCAGAGCAGACUCUGUUACUUUCCAAAUUUUAAAACAAAAAAUGGCAAACACCGCCACGACCAGUGCAACUCGGGAAGGUGAGUCUGAUGUAUCUACCGAGUCUUCACAGUGAAUACCUCUAGAGAAGGACCAGUGGCUAGCUACGGUGAGUCCCACACUCUGCAGAUCACACAACACAAGCUCAAUGGAUCCAAUUACCUGGAUUGGUCUCAAUCGGUGCUAUUGGUUAUUCGAGGUAAAGGAAAAGUUGGUUAUCUUACUGGAGAGACAAAGAAACCAGAAGCACAAGAUACUGGA
rnacentral:lncRNA from 1 species